rnacentral:tRNA from 1 species
GGUUUCUUGGUGUAGUGGGUUAUCACGUGACCUUUACACGGUCAAGGUCGCCGGUUCGAACCCGGCAGGAAUCA